GACGAACGCUGGCGGCGUGCUUAACACAUGCAAGUCGAACGGAAAGGCCCUGCUUGCAGGGUGCUCGAGUGGCGAACGGGUGAGUAACACGUGGGUGAUCUGCCCCUUACUUUGGGAUAAGCCUGGGAAACUGGGUCUAAUACUGGAUAGGACCAUGCUGUAGGUGGUGUGGUGGAAAGAUUUUUUCGGUAAGGGAUGAGCUCGCGGCCUAUCAGCUUGUUGGUGGGGUAAUGGCCUACCAAGGCGUCGACGGGUAGCCGGCCUGAGAGGGUGGACGGCCACAGUGGGACUGAGAUACGGCCCAGACUCCUACGGGAGGCAGCAGUGGAGAAUAUUGCACAAUGGGCGCAAGCCUGAUGCAGCGACGCCGCGUGGGGGAUGACGGCCUUCGGGUUGUAAACUCCUUUCAGCCAUGACGAAGCCUCUUUUGGGGUGACGGUAGUGGUAGAAGAAGCACCGGCUAACUACGUG
rnacentral:rRNA from 1 species